rnacentral:lncRNA from 1 species
UACCAAUUGGUGCAUGAUUCAAAACCAUUCCUUCUCUAUUCUAGUCUAAUUGAUUGAAGUUUUCUCGACAACUUCGUGUGUGUUUUUGUUAGAAAAAGCUAACCCAGCCAAAAACGAGGGCACAACCAUCUUUCACCACCACGCGGUGCUUCGCGUGACCACGGACGGGGAUAACCCCUGUAACAGGCUGUUUGGCAUCCAGAGAUGGUCACCAAAUCCGGGAGAUGGCCAA